UAAUGGCAGUCGAAUUGAAUCUAAUCAAAUUGAAUUGAAUGUAAAUAAGUGCAGUUCUUCCACCGGUGUUGCCUCUGACACCCUCCUCCGAAGGUCCGAUGACGUGGCAGCAGAAACUGAGAUUUGGAAACGGCCUGCAGCCAUGGAUUCUCAGAUGUCUCAUGUGUGCUGACACCAGUGGAAAACACAGGCAUGUGCUCAGAUGGAGGCCAAGUGGAGGAGGCUCAUCUUCCCUCGCGUGAACAUGGUCCAAUUAAAAAUCAUCUUCCCUACAUUCUACCACACCUUGGUAUGUGGUACGUCAGGUGAGCAAGUGAACCCAGGUUUCAGGCACAAACCCGCCCUACUGGCUCCACAUUUAUUCUGCAUAUGAAGUUGAUGUCCUGCCUGUGAUCCAAGCCCAGGGGCCAGAGACUCAUCCCCAGGUCCAGUCAAGACAGUGGUUCAUCACUAUUGGAGCAUUCAUGUUUGAAGCCUGCAAACGGAAGACAAGGAGAGAAGAUGAUUCCUGGGGAAACUGAAUAGAAUUAAACAAAGACCCAAAAUGACCAAGAAUCGAGAAGAUUUUUCAUUUUCAUGCGUUCACAGCUUCUCUAUGAACCAUCCCCAUCUAGUGUCUGGAAAACGUAUGUGCACCUGUCUCCAUGACUCCUUCUAUUAUUA